AUUGAACGCUGGCGGCAUGCCUUACACAUGCAAGUCGAACGGCAGCGGACCUUCGGGUGCCGGCGAGUGGCGAACGGGUGAGUAAUAUAUCGGAACGUACCUUUCGAGUGGGGGAUAACGUAGCGAAAGUUACGCUAAUACCGCAUAUUCUGUGAGCAGGAAAGCAGGGGAUCGCAAGACCUUGCGCUGAUUGAGCGGCCGAUAUCAGAUUAGCCUAGUUGGUGAGGUAAAGGCUCACCAAGGCGACGAUCUGUAGCGGGUCUGAGAGGAUGAUCCGCACACUGGAACUGAGACACGGUCCAGACUCCUACGGGAGGCAGCAGUGGGGAAUUUUGGACAAUGGGCGCAAGCCUGAUCCAGCCAUGCCGCGUGAGUGAAGUAAGGGCC
rnacentral:rRNA from 1 species